ensembl:lncRNA
GAGCAGCUGGGGGCAGCCAGACCCUUCCUUCACCAGGAGGCCAAAUAGGAGCAAGAACAUGUUAAAAUCAAUCUGGGAGCACAAAAGACAGAGACCAGCGCCCACAAAACCACCUGGGUUGGGUUCUGCUCCACUCGGUCUUCAUCCACUGGGAAAGGGCUUCCUGGCAGCUCCCGGUGCCAAUGGGAAUGCUGCUGGGCAGGAGCAGAGCGACGAGAUGUGCUGAGAAACACGAACCAGGGUUGAGCUGCUCCAUUCCCAACCCAAUAGAGACUCACUCAAUAGGACCCUUCUCUCCCAGCAGCGAGAGCUGCUGAAGCCCCAAACACUGCCCCAAUGCUGGAACAACUCAAAACCUCUCCAAAACGAGGAUUAACACGGUGGGAUCUGUGUUAAGGACAAGGCACAAGCGGUUAAUGGCCAAACAGGCCCACGAACAGCCUUAGGAGAUCAACCCUCUGGUGUCACAGCAAAGAAACCAGCCGGAGCUGCUGGACCCUGGCUCCAACCAAACCCCACUCGUCUGGAAACGAAGCAGCUGCAUCACAGGCCAUGGAGGGUCAGCAAACAUCGGGAUCAAGCCUUGAACUUCCUCCCAUCCCCUCUUCCCGAGCUGGGAUGAACAUGGAAAAGGCCAGCACCAGCAGCACCAACAAACACCAUUUCCUCCCUCCAACACCCCGGAUCCGAGGCCACGCAGCACCGUGGGUGCAGCAGUUGGCUCUGAGGGGAUACAGAGUGAUUUGAGGCUUUAAUUAGCAUUAACUUUAAUCAAGCCUUUAUCCCAAUCCUGCUCCAGACGCGCUCUCCGGGUGGCUGACAGCGAGAGCUCAAAUGGCUUUAAUCUAUACUCAAAACCUUGGGAACAGGUUGGAAAAGCUGGAAAAUUCACUUGGAAUUGCAUUCAUGGGGAGCCUGCUCCCUCCUCACCCAGCUGCCUCCCUGUGCUGCUUUCAGCCCUGUCCCUGCUCCUCUUAGAAUCACAGAAUGGGCUGGGAAGGACCUUAACAUCAUCCAGUUCCAACCUCAUCCUCCAGGGAGCAGCUCAUGUCCCUGUGUUCCAGCUCGUGAUGCACCCGAGCAUCAGUGUGAGCCGUUGUUAUAUUCAGCUACAAGAGGAUCCCAAAUACCUUCUAAAAGCCAUGUUCGACCUUAGCACACGCUCAGGGAUGGGAAAGUGGUUAAAAGCAGGGAAACAGAAUGGAUCCCUUCAGGAAUCGCUGCAAAUCCAGGCCCAGGAAGGCUGCAAAGCCCAGCUCAGGCACUGCCGGGAGGAGGAGGAGCAGCACCGCGGAUGAAGAGGCUGUUCCCAGGUCUGGGUGUUGGCAGCAGCUUUCCCCACUGCCGCAGGUAGCACAGGGAGAAGCAGCCAACACGAUCCCGGUUCAUCCUCCUCGCAGGGCUGGCUCAUGCCCAGCGUGGGAAGAGGAGCUGCUGCAUCACCCUGAGCCCUCUCGCUGUGUGUGUUUGCUGAGGGUUUGGGUGCUGGCAGCAGAAGUGAUGCUGUGCAGUGAGCAGACAGCGCCGGUGCUGCAGCAGCUCUGCGGAUGCUGCUCUAGGAGGAUGCUGCGGCUCUGCAGAAUCAGGGUUGAUCCUCCCAGUGGGGCGAAGACAGCAGCAAACCCCAGCA